rnacentral:rRNA from 1 species
CCGUUCUGAGUGUCCCGUGCAGUCGUAUGCUUUGUCUUGACCGGAGCUUGCUUACCGUGUGACAAAGAGUGGUCAAUGGGUGAGUAAGACGUGGGUAACCGGCCCAUUCCAAGGGGAUAACACUUGGAAACAGGUGCUAAUACCGUAUAACACUAUUUUCCGCAUGGAAGAAAGUUGAAAGGCGCUUUUGCGUCACUGAUGGAUGGACCCGCGGUGCAUUAGCUAGUUGGUGAGGUAACGGCUCACCAAGGCAACGAUGCAUAGCCGACCUGAGAGGGUGAUCGGCCACACUGGGACUGAGACACGGCCCAGACUCCUACGGGAGGCAGCAGUAGGGAAUCUUCGGCAAUGGACGAAAGUCUGACCGAGCAACGCCGCGUGAGUGAAGAAGGUUUUCGGAUCGUAAAACUCUGUUGUUAGAGAAGAACAAGGAUGAGAGUAAAAUGUUCAUCCCUUGACGGUAUCUAACCAGAAAGCCACGGCUAACUACGUGCCAGCAGCCGCGGUAAUACGUAGGUGGCAAGCGUUGUCCGGAUUUAUUGGGCGUAAAGCGAGCGCAGGCGGUUUCUUAAGUCUGAUGUGAAAGCCCCCGGCUCAACCGGGGAGGGUCAUUGGAAACUGGGAGACUUGAGUGCAGAAGAGGAGAGUGGAAUUCCAUGUGUAGCGGUGAAAUGCGUAGAUAUAUGGAGGAACACCAGUGGCGAAGGCGGCUCUCUGGUCUGUAACUGACGCUGAGGCUCGAAAGCGUGGGGAGCGAACAGGAUUAGAUACCCUGGUAGUCCACGCCGUAAACGAUGAGUGCUAAGUGUUGGAGGGUUUCCGCCCUUCAGUGCUGCAGCAAACGCAUUAAGCACUCCGCCUGGGGAGUACGACCGCAAGGUUGAAACUCAAAGGAAUUGACGGGGGCCCGCACAAGCGGUGGAGCAUGUGGUUUAAUUCGAAGCAACGCGAAGACCUUUACCAGGUCUUGACAUCCUUUGACCACUCUAGAGAUAGAGCUUCCCCUUCGGGGGCAAGUGACAGGUGCUGCAUGAUGUCGUCAGCUCGUGUCGUGAGAUGUUGGGUUUAGUCCGCACCGAGCGCAACCAUAUGUAGUUGGCAUCAUUUAGUUGGCACUCUAGCGAGACUGGCGUUGAACAAACCCGGAGGGAAAGGUGGGGGAAUUGAACG